AUCCUUUUGUAGCUCAUGAGGGCGACUCUUAUGUGAGAUGUGCCUCCCUCAAACCUUGUUAGGAAAUGCACAUUACCUCUCUAAUA
ensembl:snoRNA